rnacentral:lncRNA from 1 species
AUUAGUGGGCUUCGAAAUUCUUUAGUGGGCUUUAUGUUGUUUAAAGCAGCAAUACUGACUGCACAUAUGUUAAAAUAGCUGCCAGAUGAUGGCUGUUCUAGGACACUCCCACAGUGUGUAGGAAUAGGGUGGGAGAGAGAGAAGGACCAAUGCAGAACUGAUGGUCCUGAUAGGAGCAGAUGGUGGUGAAUACUCAAAAAGCUUUUUAAUACAUACCAUUCCUUAUUCCAAGCAAUUGUAUGGGGACUUCCUGUAUGCCAGAGUUUUCAAAGCUAAUUGCCUUUGUAUCUGCUGCCAUAACUGUGUUUGACUAAGGGGAAAGCAGGGGGUAGGGGACAGAAGAUAAUAUCAUGUGAACUUUUUGGCACUCUACUACUUAUUUUUCAACUAUCAAUUAUGUAAUUUCACAGUUCAUAGAUUUCAGAAGGUGCAGCAGGAAUAGAUCAGAUGUCCUUUGGGGCUAGAGAGUGGAAAAAAAAAGAAUGGAGAAGGGCAAAGAUUGGAAAUGGCUAUGUUUAAUUUUAUUAGAAAACCAUAAAAUCAAACGCAGUAUUGGGAAAAAGCUAUCUUGAUGAAAAAUAAAGUUUAUUCAAAGAAAAGGUAGGAGAGAUUGAAGGUUGCUCCUGUAACUAGUUGAGAGUUUCUGAAGACAUAUUCUUUCUGUACAUUUUCUGUGGGAAAGGUUUCGUUUCCAUAGAUCAUCUUUAAAGCACUUUCUGUCCAUCAUUUUUACUUAUAGAGCAACCAUUCCAUGCUGUUUGGGAACUACAAAGGAUGGCAAACACACCAUGUAUUAGUGUUUUCCAGAGAAACAAACCAAUUGUUUGCGUUCUGCAGACUAGAGUAAGCUGGCAGGCUGGAGACCCAGGGAAGAGUUGAUUGGUGUUGCAGAUUGAGUCUGAAGACCACCUGGAGGAAGACAGAAUUCUCUCUUCCUUGGGGAUCUCAGUAAUUGUUCUCUUAAGAUCUUCACCUGAUUAGAUAAGACCCACUCAAAUUAUGGAGGGUAAUAUGCUUUUACUCAAUGUCUACAGAUGUACAUGUUUAUCUUAUUUUAAAAAUACCUUUACAGCAAUAUCUAGACUGGUAUUUAACUAAAUAUCUGAGUACCAUAACAUAAAGUUAACACAUAAAAUUAACCUUUACUCACCUUCCUCGAUUAACUAAAAAUGGAAUAAUCUCCAGAAAGAUGCUCCUCAAGGACCCAUCUCACAUUCCUUUACAUAAAAAUGUCCGUCCACAGGGAAGACCUGUUAUCAGUUCUUAGUCCUAGACAUAGACUGGAUUCAUAAAUAUCAUGUGCCCAUCAAUCUUUGACACUUCUGGUGCACAGUCUCUCUUCAAUUUACCUAAGCGGUAGCCUCUUGCGUCAGUGUGAGAUGUGAGACAUGGAGUCAAAGGUGAUCAUUUUGGAGCUUUAAGAAUUUGACUGCCCUUCUGGAUUUGGACUUGCAUGGGGCCUGCGGCCCCUUUGUUUUGGCCAAUGUCUUCCAUUUGGAAUGGCUGUAUUUAUCCAUUGCCUGUACCUCCAGUGAAUCUAGGAAGUAACUAACUUGCUUUUGAUCUUACAAGCUCAUAGGUGGAAGGGACUUGCCUUUUCUCUGAUGAGACUUUGGACUGUAGACUUUUGAGUUAAUGCUGAAAUGAGUUAAGACUUUGGGAGACAGUUGGGAAGGCAUGAUUUUUUGAAAUGUGAAGACAUAAAUUUAGGAGGGGCUGGGGUGGAAUGAUAUGGUUUGGCUCUGUCCUCACCCACAUGUCAUCUUGAAUUCCCCCACGUGUUGUGGGAGGGACCAAGAGGGAGGUAACUGAAUCACUGGGGCAGAUCUUUCCCAUGCUGUUCUGGUGGUUGUAAGUCUCACAAGAUCUGAUGGUUAUUAUAAGGGGGAGUUUUCCUGCACAAGCUCUCUCUUUGCCUGCCAUCUAUAUAAGAUGUGACUUGCUCCUCCUUGCCUCCUGCCAUGAUUGUGAGGCUUCCCCAGCCGCGUGGAACUGUAAGUCCAAUUAAACUUCUUUCU